rnacentral:rRNA from 1 species
CAAGGAAUUUUCCCCAAUGGGCGCAAGCCUGAAGGAGCAACGCCGCGUGGAGGACGACGGCCUUCGGGUUGUAAACUCCUUUUGGGGGGGUACGGAACAGGACGGUACCCUCCGAAUAAGCCCCGGCUAACUCUGUGCCAGCAGCCGCGGUAAGACAGAGGGGGCAAGCGUUGUCCGGACUGACUGGGCGUAAAGCGCGCGCAGGCGGUGCGAGGCGUCGGUACUCAAAGUCCACCGCUUAACGGUGGGAGGCGUGCCGAUACGCUCGGACUGGAGGGCGGGCGAGGGUGGUGGAAUUGCCGGUGUAGUGGUGAAAUGCGUAGAGAUCGGCAGGAACACCGGUGGCGAAGGCGGCCACCUAGCCCGCACCUGACGCUGAGGCGCGACAGCGUGGGGAGCGAACUGGAUUAGAUACCCAGGUAGUCCACGCCGUAAACGAUGCCGACUCGGUCUUCGUGGGGCGAAUAGCCCUGGGGGGGCCCGAGGCUCACGCGCUAAGUCGGCCGCCUGGGGACUACGAGCGC